GACGAACGCUGGCGGCGUGCUUAACACAUGCAAGUCGAACGGAAAGGCCCUGCUUUUGUGGGGUGCUCGAGUGGCGAACGGGUGAGUAACACGUGAGUAACCUGCCCUUGACUUUGGGAUAACUUCAGGAAACUGGGGCUAAUACCGGAUAGGAGCUCCUGCUGCAUGGUGGGGGUUGGAAAGUUUCGGCGGUUGGGGAUGGACUCGCGGCUUAUCAGCUUGUUGGUGGGGUAGUGGCUUACCAAGGCUUUGACGGGUAGCCGGCCUGAGAGGGUGACCGGCCACAUUGGGACUGAGAUACGGCCCAGACUCCUACGGGAGGCAGCAGUGGGGAAUAUUGCACAAUGGGCGGAAGCCUGAUGCAGCAACGCCGCGUGCGGGAUGACGGCCUCCGGGUUGUAAACCGCUUUCGCCUGUGACGAAGCGUGAGUGACGGUAAUGGGUAAAGAAGCACCGGCUAACUACGU
rnacentral:rRNA from 1 species